GGACAAUCUAUCUAUGGCAUAUUAGUACCGAUAUCUAGUAUCCAACAAGCACACUUUUGAAAUAUACAUGUUAAAAUCAGAUAUGUACGACUGUUCAUUGAGAUGCUUUUAAAAAUAUGUAUAUUAAUAUGAGUUUAUGCAUGAAUGUCCAUGAGAACUUAGUUUCCCUGAGAAUCUUUAAGCUAAUUAGACUGCAUCGCAU
rnacentral:misc_RNA from 1 species